rnacentral:lncRNA from 1 species
GGAAGGCAAUAAUGUAUGACAAAAACGGCAAUAAUGUCGAGAAAAGAAGUAGGAGAAACGGCUGUGACCUGAUUACUCGGGCCGAAUGUGUUUCAUUCUGCAGUUUGCUGUUUUUACGUAUUUCAAGACUUCUCUGA